UCUGUCAGUGAUGCUAAUAGUUAUGAUCGAGUUUCACAGCCAUGAGAAAACUCACAUGCACUACCAUCUGAGGCAGG
ensembl:snoRNA SNORD33 Small nucleolar RNA Z195/SNORD33/SNORD32 family